AUUGCACUCCAGUCUGGGUGACAGAACGAGACCCUGUCUCAAAAAAGCAAAACAAAACAAAACAAAAACCGAAUAUUAGAGGACAAUGUUAGGACUGUCCCAGCUGUCCUAGCUGGAGCCAAAGGUUUGUUGGGGACAGUGACAGCAGCACACGAGGCUGUAAGUUUAGGGCCAGUUUAUGGAGGAGUAGUACCAAUUACAUUGAGAAAACUGUAGCAACUAUAAUUUGGGAGGAAUUUUCUAAAUACUUUACAUGUGUUAUUUAAUCUUCCCAUCAGCCCCAGGAGGUAUGUGCAUUUAUCAGUCCCAUUCUACAGAUGAAAAGACUGAGGUCUAUGAACUCCUUUAUUUAAAAACAAAACAAAACCCCCUCAAGGCUGCCUGCUAAGAGGGGAGGAGUGUGGAUUCAAGCCAGCAUCCUUAUUCCAGUGUCCAUGCUCUCAGCCACCACACACACACUCCUAUCAGGAGUUGGGGCAGUGGGGAGCCAUUAUAGUUUUUGAGCAAGAGAGUGACAGGGCAAAGAUCACUGUGGCCUCAGUGUGAAGCACAGAUGAGAUGGAGAGACUGGAGGCAGGGAGGCCCAUGAGGAGGCUGUCAACAUGGUUCAGGUGACAGCUCUGGGUUGGUGAAGAAGCAGAGAACAGGAAGGAAGGGGCGAGAGGCUUGAGGGAGGAGGAGGAAGCCUUUGGACUGGGCCGUGGAUAUAGGGUGGGAACAUAGGAGGUGAGGAGCAUGCUCUCUCCACCUGCUUUUUGCAACAUGCGGCCUCUCUGGCCUUAGCUCUGCCUGUCCUGAGCCCUGAGCCCUGAGCCCAAUGGACCGAUUCUGUUUUUUUUUUGAGAUGGAGUCUUGCUCUUGUUGCCUAGGCUGGAGUGCAGUGGUGUGAUCUUGGCUCACUGCAACCUCUGCCUUCUGAGUUCAAGCGAUUCUCCCACCUCAGCCUCCCAAGUAGCUGGGACUACAGGCGUGCCCCACCACGCCUGGCUAAUUUUUUGUAUUUUUUUUAGUAGAGAUGGUGUUUCGCCAUGUUGGCCCGGCUGGUCUUGAACUCCUGACCUCAGGUGAUCCACCUGCCUUGGCCUCCCAGAGUGCUGGGAUUACAGGCGGGAGCCACCGUGCCCGGCCCCAGUGGACUGAUUCUGGUCAGUGUCAACCCCAUUUGUCCCUGGAGCUUUUGCAGUCGGUCACAGGGCCAGCCCGGUCCUGGUCACCGCUGGCUGGUUACCCCGGCUGGGUUGGGCAGGAGUCUGGGCAGGGCUGGUUGCUCAUCUCAGGUAUGAAAUUGGCUGCACCCCCACUAGUGUGGGGGAGCAGGAUUCCAGGGCCUGCCUGGCGCUGCUACCCCUGUGCCUCCAGACCCCUCGAGCUCCUCCCAGACCUUUGGCUUCGUUGACUGUGAGGUGAAAACAAAAGGGCUGCUCUCUGUCACUUCCCCUAGGGGCGGGCAGAUGCUGGCAGGGCACAGAGAGCCGAGGGCUAAGAGCUGACAUUUAGCCUGGCUACUCAGGAGACUGAGGCAGGAGAAUCGCUUGAACCUGGGAGGCGGAGUUUGCAGUGAACCGAGAUCGCGCCAUUGCACUCCAGCCUGGGUGACAGGGUGAGAUUCUGUCUCCAAAAAAAAAAAAAAAAGAAGAGCUGACAUUUAGCGGGUGCUUCUUGGGUGCAAUGCGCAAGAGACCGAUGCAUUAACUACACAGAGUGCCCUUCCUUGUCACAGCUACCUGGGGGCAGGGGAACAUCAUCCCCAUUUUACAGAAGAGGCCUUUGAAGCACAGAGAUUAACUGACGUACUUAGGGUUUUGCAGCUCACUAGAGGCAGAGCCAAGACUCCACCCCAGGUGGCCAGGCUCCUGAGCGCUAUGCCUACCUCACCCUCCAAUGAGGUGGUGGUGGAGGAGACCGUGAGCCGCUGUCACCUGAACACUGGUGCACUCAGUCUGCUGCUCUGAGGACGCCGCCCCCUCUCUUUCUCUGUGUAAAGGCUUGAUCUCGACCCCUAAAGCCUGAAGCUUCUCCCUGUGGCCACCUCCCCACCGCAUCAUCUUCCGUUCUCAGCGGGUAGAUCCCUGCCCAGGGGGGACCCCCUGGGGAAGGCUGGGAGCAUGACCUCUUCCCAAGGGUACGGCAUCUAAAAGGGAUCUCCGGAACAUUGAAAAGCCAUGAAGGCCGGGCACAGCGGCUCACGCCUGUAAUCCCAGCACUUUGGGAGGCUGAGGGAGGAGGAUCGCUUAAGGCCAGGAGUUCAAGACCAGUCUGGACAACAUAGCAAGACCCGGUCUCUUUCUAUAAAUGAAAAAAUAAUAAUAAAGCCAUGAAGAUCCCCAAA